rnacentral:lncRNA from 1 species
ACGCGGCGUACGCGGCCGGGGCGGAGGCGUGGUCCCCGGGCAGCGGCUCCGGGAGGGCGGGCGGUGCCGGCGGCUGGGGCUCGGGAGGGGGCGCAGGCCCGGGCAGAGGCCCCCGGUGCAGCUCUGCGCGGGUCCCCUGGAGAGACGCCUCCUCAUAACCCGGCUCACGGCCGCAGAGGCGGCCCACCGCGUCCAGGCGCCCCCGGUCCCUCGGUGCCCUCCAACCGCCGCGCCUCAGACCAUGCCGG